rnacentral:rRNA from 1 species
ACCGUGUGCGUACAAGCAGUUCGAGCCCGUUAAUGGGUGGGAGCGUGCCGUUUGUAGAAUGAACCGGCGAGUUACGUUAUGAGGCGAGGUUAAGUUGAAGAGACGGAGCCGUAGGGAAACCGAGUCUGAAUAGGGCGACUUAGUAUCAUGAUGUAGACCCGAAACCUAGUGACCUAUCCAUGAGCAGGGUGAAGGUGUGGUAAGACGCACUGGAGGCCCGAACCAGGACACGUUGAAAAGUGUUUGGAUGACUUGUGGAUAGCGGAGAAAUUCCAAACGAACUGGGAGAUAGCUGGUUCUCUCCGAAAUAGCUUUAGGGCUAGCGUCGAAAUGUAAGUGUAUUGGAGGUAGAGCACUGUUUGGGUGAGGGGUCCGUCUAGGAUUACCAAUCUCAGAUAAACUCCGAAUGCUAAUACACAUGUUCGGCAGUCAGACUGCGAGUGCUAAGAUCCGUAGUCGAAAGGGAAACAGCCCAGACCAACAGCUAAGGUCCCAAAAUAUAUGUUAAGUGGAAAAGGAUGUGGGGUUGCACAGACAACUAGGAUGUUAGCUCAGAAGCAGCUAUCAUUCAAAGAGUGCGUAAUAGCUCACUAGUCGAGUGACCCUGCGCCGAAAAUGUACCGGGGCUAAACAUAUUACCGAAGCUUUGGAUUGAUAUUUUAUCAAUGGUAGGAGAGCGUUCUUAACCGCGAUGAAGGUAUACCGUGAGGAGUGCUGGAGCGUUAAGAAGUGAGAAUGCCGGUAUGAGUAGCGCAAGAUAAGUGAGAAUCUUAUCCACCGUAAGACUAAGGUUUCCAGGGGAAGGCUCGUCCGCCCUGGGUUAGUCGGGACCUAAGGCGAGGCCGAAAGGCGUAGUCGAUGGACAACUGGUUGAUAUUCCAGUACUAGAUAUGAUCGUGAUGGAGGGACGCAGUAGGCUAAGAGAUGCCAGUUAAUGGAUUCUGGUCUAAGCAGUGAGGUGUGAGAUGUGUCAAAUGCAUUUCUCUUUAACAUUGAGCUGUGAUGGGGAAGCAACUACGGUUGCGAACUCUCUGAUGUCACACUGCCAAGAAAAGCUUCUAGCGUAAAGUCAUAUCUACCCGUACCGCAAACCGACACAGGUGGUCGAGGCGAGUAGCCUCAGGUGAUCGAGAGAACUCUCGUUAAGGAACUCGGCAAAAUAGCCCCGUAACUUCGGGAGAAGGGGUGCUGGUGUAAAAGCCAGCCGCAGUGAAUAGGCCCAAGCAACUGUUUAUCAAAAACACAGCUCUCUGCUAAACCGCAAGGUGAUGUAUAGGGGGUGACGCCUGCCCGGUGCUGGAAGGUUAAGAGGAGUGCUUAGACGUAAGUCGAAGGUAUGAAUUGAAGCCCCAGUAAACGGCGGCCGUAACUAUAACGGUCCUAAGGUAGCGAAAUUCCUUGUCGGGUAAGUUCCGACCCGCACGAAAGGCGUAAUGAUUUGGGCACUGUCUCAACGAGAGACUCGGUGAAAUUUUAGUACCUGUGAAGAUGCAGGUUACCCGCGACAGGACGGAAAGACCCCAUGGAGCUUUACUGUAGUUUGAUAUUGAGUACCUGUAAGUCAUGUACAGGAUAGGUAGGAGCCAUUGAAAUAGGGACGCUAGUUUCUAUUGAGGCGUUGUUGGGAUACUACCCUUGACUUAUGGUUACUCUAACCCGCUGGCAUAAUCGGCCAGGGAGACAGUGUCUGACGGACAGUUUGACUGGGGCGGUCGCCUCCUAAAGAGUAACGGAGGCGCUCAAAGGUUGGCUCAGAUUGGUUGGAAAUCAAUCGUAGAGUGUAAAGGUAAAAGCCAGCUUGACUGCGAGAGCUACAACUCGAGCAGGUAGGAAACUAGGACUUAGUGAUCCGGUGGUACCGCAUGGAAGGGCCAUCGCUCAACGGAUAAAAGCUACCCUGGGGAUAACAGGCUUAUCUCCCCCAAGAGUUCACAUCGACGGGGAGGUUUGGCACCUCGAUGUCGGCUCGUCGCAUCCUGGGGCUGUAGUCGGUCCCAAGGGUUGGGCUGUUCGCCCAUUAAAGCGGCACGCGAGCUGGGUUCAGAACGUCGUGAGACAGUUCGGUCCCUAUCCGUCGCGGGCGUAGGUAAUUUGAGAGGAUCUGUCCUUAGUACGAGAGGACCGGGAUGGACUUACCGCUGGUGUACCAGUUGUUCCGCCAGGAGCACGGCUGGAUAGCUAUGUAGGGAAGGGAUAAGCGCUGAAAGCAUCUAAGUGCGAAGCCCACCUCAAGAUGAGAUUACCCAUUCGUAAGAAUUAAGAGCCCAGAGAGAUGAUCUGGUAGAUAGGCUGGAAGUGGAAGAGUUGCGAGACUUGGAGCGGACCAGUACUAAUCGCUCGAGGACUUUACCAAAA